UACGAAGGGUGCAAGCGUUACUCGGAAUUACUGGGCGUAAAGCGUGCGUAGGUGGUUUGUUAAGUCUGAUGUGAAAGCCCUGGGCUCAACCUGGGAAUUGCAUUGGAUACUGGCAGGCUAGAGUGCGGUAGAGGGUAGUGGAAUUCCCGGUGUAGCAGUGAAAUGCGUAGAGAUCGGGAGGAACACCAGUGGCGAAGGCGACUACCUGGACCAGCACUGACACUGAGGCACGAAAGCGUGGGGAGCGAACAGG
rnacentral:rRNA from 1 species